rfam:Ipomoea nil DNA, scaffold: scaffold2263, cultivar: Tokyo-kokei standard.
GGAUGCGAUCAUACCAGCACUAAUGCACCGGAUCCCAUCAGAACUCCGAAGUUAAGCGUGCUUGGGCGAGAGUAGUACUAGGAUGGUGACCCCUGAAGUCCUCGUGUUGCAUCCC